rnacentral:misc_RNA from 1 species
CAAACAUUAUCACCAUCCAUAAGGUUCCGGGGACUGAGCACAGUGGAGCAGAGUGGCUGAGAAGAUGAUCACCGCCACCAGCAUGGCCACCGGUGGUAGCAGCUCCGUCUUUCUCUCCGUCCCAAAACUACCAUCCCAAAAGUUGCAAAUUUUAUCUCACAAACAAGUCUUUUUCACAAACAAAAAGUGGUCUACAUUGCCCUUUCUCUGUUCUUCUUCAACUCCACUUGUAGAAGAAGAAAAUGGGUCGACUGACGAUGUCCUUCCAGCUUCGAUAAAUGAAGAAUCUAGUUCAGUUUUACCUCCCGGAGCAUGUAAGGGUUGUGGGAGAUUGGAGAUUGAAAGUGGUUGUAAUGGCGAAGGACGGAUACAAG